rnacentral:rRNA from 1 species
GACGAACCGAGCGCACGUUGUUCGGAAUCACUGGGCUUAAAGGGCGCGUAGGCGGGUGCUCAAGUCCGUGGUGAAAUCCUCCGGCUCAACCGGAGAACUGCCUCGGAUACUGGGUGCCUCGAGGGUGGUAGGGGUAUGCGGAACUAUCGGUGGAGCGGUGAAAUGCGUUGAUAUCGAUAGGAACUCCGGUGGCGAAGGCGGCAUACUGGACCACCUCUGACGCUGAGGCGCGAAAGCCAGGGGAGCAAACGGG